AGCCAGUCUCACAGCAAUGCCUCGCCGCUCAAGUCACCCUCGAGGCCAGGGAGCGAGAUCAGGGCCAAACGGAGCCACGCGAGGACGCCGUGGCCCCGUGACUCACCGCUUGCCCCCAGUCCGAGACCCAGCAGGAAGGAAAACACGCGGGAAAGCUUUUGUUUUCCCGCUACCGAAGGAAAAGAUGGACAGCAUACAACAGAUGCUUAUUGAAAAAUUUUGGAUUGCUUUAAUGGUGUAUCAGCCGUCAGAGGUGAUAAAUAGUAGUAGUAGUAGUAGUAGUAGUAGUAGUAGUAGUAGUAGUAGUAGUAGUAGUAGUAGUAGUAGUAGUAGUUGUUGUAGUUUGAGCGAGUUAAGUGAGGAGGAGGAGGAGGAGGAGGAAGUGAAGAGGAAAACGAAAGACAAAGAUAAGAAUGAAGGAAAAGAGGAGGAGGAGAAGGAGGAGGAAAUGAAAGAAAAACAAGAGGAGAAGGAAGGAACAGAAAAAGAUGGGGAAGUGAUAGCAAAGGAGAAAGAAAAGGAGGAAGGAGGAAAAGGGGAAGAGAAGGAAAAUAAAGGAAAGGUAGAAGAGGAGAUGGAAGGAAAAGUAAAAGAAAAAGAAGAAGAAAAGAACGAGAGAAAAGGAACAAAAACAGAUGAUGAAAAUAAAACGAACAAAGAUUACGAAGAAAACGAAGAAGAGAAAGAAGAAGACAAAGAAGAGAAGAAAGAAGAAAAAUCAGGAAAAAUAAGAAGCAAUAACAGAAAUAGUAGAAUACCUAUCCUAACUACCACUACUACUACUACUACUACUACUACUAUUACUACUACUACUACUACCACGAAGGGACAAAGAUGCAUAAAAUCAAAAAUUCCAGUUAAGAUACAAGAAAUUAAGGGUUUUGAAGGGAGCAGCGCCCCCCUUGAGGCCUCGGGGGGCGCGGGAGGAGGCGUGGAUGAUGUCUGUCUGGAGGAUUGCGUGAAGGAAGCCGUGUUAGGACUCCUGAAGGAUCUGCCAGAGUCCUUUUUGCAGACUCGAGAACACAAGAGUGAAAUUUUAGGCUCCAUUUCAUCCCUUGCCGAGUCCCUGCCACGCCCUGCCGCCGCCCACGCCUCUGCCCUCGAAGCCCUCCACGCCGCCCACGCCGCCCACGCCCAGACCUGUAACCACAACACCACCACACACCUUAGUCUAUACCUGGGCAUCAAAUCAGCCCUUCGCUUCCUUCACCACCACCACCACCACCAUCACCAUCACCACCUCCUGCAGCGCCUCCUUCAAGAUAUAUGGGACUGUGAGGGAUCCUUCGACAGGCUUCUGCUGGGGCUCCUGGUGGGGGGGCGGAGGAGGAGGGGGGAAGACACCUACUCCUGCUGGUACCACGAGGAGGAUGAAGAGGAAGAGGAAGAGGAGGAAGAGGCGUGGGAACUUCAUGUCAUCCUUGAGAACGUGAGGAAGGUGAAGGGAGUCAGGGUAACCACGAUGCUGAGUGAGCCGCUGUGGUGUUGCGGUUCCCCUCCCCUGGUGGUGGCGGCGCUGGCUGGCUGCCCCUCACUGGUGCUCACUCUGCUACACCACGGCGCGGGCCACCACCACCACCACCACCACCACCACCACCACCAGCAACACAAGAGGAUUAAUAUGAAUGGCGUCUAUCAAGCAGUAAUAUUUUUAAUCCGGAAAUUGUUGGACGAGUGGCGGGGGUCUGAGGAGGGGAGCGGCGCCCCCCCUGCACCUGACCUCCUCACCUGGGCAGGCAACAGCCCCACUGCAAAAUGCCUCAGAUACCUACUCCGGACCAUCACAAGGGUACCACACAAACUACUUCGGGAUCAACUCAACUACUCUGACCCGGCCUCCCUCUUGCCCCCCCACUGCUGCCGAGACCCGCCCCCUCUCCUGCACCUCGCCCGCGUCGCCGUCAGGGAGCUACUGAGGGUUGGAGGGGAGCUGCCGGGGUCUAUAAAUACUCUGGAUCUCCCCGCUCCACUUCGCUGCCGCCUCUCUCUCCUCAGGGAUUAGUAAAAUGUGGUAGGAUAGUCUCGAAGGUUAGGAAGGAUUGUGGUUGUGGUGGUUGUGGUGGUGGUAGCGGGAAGGGGGAGUGGGGUUGUCUGGGAAGUUGUUUUUGUUAUUGUUUUUUUCGUUGUUGUUGUUGUUAUUGUUCUAGUCUUAUUGUUAUUAUCAUUAUUGUUAUUAUUUUUUUUUCAUUAGUUAUUCUGUUCUCUUACUUCUUCUUCUUAGUAUUAUUCAAGUAAUUCUUUUUUAUAUCUGCGUCCUUCUCUCCCCCCCCUCCCCCAUCCCCUCAUGCAAACAGGGGGAGGGGGUUACUGUGGGGAAUCGGAGGUUGGGGGAAGGAAAAAUGAGCAAUAUGGCCGCUCAAAUUGAAAGUCUACGGUGCAAAACUGCCAAAUUUAACUAACAUUUCCUAAAAAAACUGACACCAAUGUAACGUUGCCCCUGAACACCCACUAAGGACACUAACCUAACCUAACCUAACCUAACCUAAGAGCACUAACCUAACCUAACAUAACCUAACCUAACCUAACCUAAUCUAACCUAACCUAACCUAACCUAACCUUACCUAAUCUAACCUAACCUAACCUAACCUAACCUAACCUAACCUAAUCUAACACUAACCUAACCUAACCUAACCUAACCUAACCUAACCUAACCUUACCUAAUCUAAUCUAACCUAACCUAACCUAACCUAACCUAGCCUAAUCUAACACUAACCUAACCUAACCUAACCUAACCUAACCUAACCUAAUCUAACACUAACCUAACCUAACCUAACCUAAUCUAACUUUGCCUGUAAACAAACACACGAACGAAUGAAGUUUAGGUUCAGCUGGAUUUAGUCGCGGCUCAUUCUCGCAGCCAGUGUAGCCAUAUCAGACUCGUAACCCUAAAGAUGUUUACACUCACGUUUCGUUUAGUGAUUUGGGUUUGUUUGUAAGAUUAACCAUAUUUUUUUUUUAUCAUUAUUAUGGAACCUCAAAGAAAUGUAAUGAUAAUGAUAAAUAAGUCGAUAAAAUGCUAAAUUAUCGUUGCUAACCAUUUCAAAAUUUUCCACGGUACAAUGUUGACAGUUUUAGAAUACCCGGCACAUGCAACCUCUCCUACCGAACUCUGUCAAUUUUGUACUGGGUCAGAUUAUUGAAGUUUCCUCAGGGAUAAUGUAUUGAUAAUUAUAAUAAACCCUUUCUUCU